GUGCUUGCUUUGGCAGCGCACACACUGAAAUUGGAACAAUGCAGAGAAAGUGAGCAUGGCCCCUGCUCAAGGAUGACACACAAGGUCGUGAAGUGUUCCAUAUUUUU